rnacentral:rRNA from 1 species
UACGUAGGUGACGAGCGUUAUCCGGAAUACUGGCGUAAAGCGCACGCAAGCGGUUGGACAAGUCUGGCGUGAAAUCCUCUGGCUUAACCAGGGGCGGUCGCUGGAGACUGUUCGGCUUGAGGCGAUGAGAGGGGUGCAGAAUUCCCGGUGUAGUGGUGGAAUGCGUAGAGAUCGGGAGGAAUACCAGUGGCGAAAGCGGCACCCUGGCGUCGUACUGACGCACAUGUGCGAAAGCGUGGGGAGCGAACGGGAUUAAGAAACCC